AGCAGCCGCGGUAAUUCCAGCUCCAAUAGCGUAUAUUAAAGUUGUUGCAGUUAAAAAGCUCGUAGUUGAAUUUUAGGCCUGGCCGGGCGGUCCGUCUUUGGCGAGUACUGUCUUGUUGUCGGGUCUUCCUUCUGGUGAACUAGUAUGCCCUUUAUUGGGUGUGUUGGGGAGCCAGGACCAUUACCUUGAAAAAAUUAGAGUGUUUAAAGCGGGCUAUUGCUUGAAUAGAUUAGCAUGGAAUAAUAGAAUAGGACGUUUGUGGUUCUAUUUUGUUGGUUUCUAGGACCACCGUAAUGAUUAAUAGGGAUAGUUGGGGGCAUUAGUAUUCAAUUGUCAGAGGUGAAAUUCUUGGAUUUAUUGAAGACUAACUAUUGCGAAAGCAUUUGCCAAGGAUGUUUUCAUUAAUCAAGAACGAAAGUUAGGGGAUCGAAGACGAUCAGAUACCGUCGUAGUCUUAACCAUAAACUAUGCCGACUAGGAAUCGGGCGACGUUAUUUUCAUGACUCGCUCGGCGCCUUAU
rnacentral:rRNA from 1 species